UUAAUAAAUAUGCAACUCAGUUACAAACACUCGUGGUUGUAUCUUUUCUGUUACAACCACGAGUGUUUGUAACUAAUUUGCAUAUCUAUUAAAAU
rnacentral:miRNA from 1 species